rnacentral:tRNA from 1 species
GGCUCAAUAGCUUAGUUGGUAAAUCACUUAUCUAUCGUAUUAGGGUUGUGAGUUCAAAUCUCACCUAAGCUA